rnacentral:rRNA from 1 species
GACGUCUAGAUCGAGCAUUCGCUGAUGAUGAAGGUCAUCGAUCGUAACGUCUGUGUAGGAGACCCAAGUACAGCGUUACUGCUGUACCUGACGGGUAACGUAUCCAGUAAGGACGUGGCUAGCUAGCGUGUCAGCAGCCGCGGAGUGAUUCGUAGGGUGGCAUGCGAUUAUACCGGAAAUAUAUUGGGCGUAAAGCGGCGGGCAGGCCGGUCUUCUUUAAUUCUGGAUGUGGAAAGUGCAAGGGCGUCAAUCGCGGAAGGGGUCAUUUUGGAAAUCUCGGGGAACUUUGAGUGCAGAAAGAGAAAAAAACGGCAAUUACCCCUUGUACCCGGUUAAAUUCGUAGAGAUGUUGGAGGAAACACCAAGUGAGCGAAGGGCGGCUUUUUGGUCUGUAACUCGUCCCUGAGGCGCGGACAAGCGCGGGGAGCAAACAGGGUUAGAUAUCCCUGGUAGUCCACGCCGUAAACGAUGAGUGCUAAGUGUUAGAGGGGUUUUCCGCCCUUUAGUGCUGCAGCUAACGCAUUAAGCACUCCGCCUGGGGAGUACGGUCGCAAGACUGAAACUCAAAGGAAUUGACGGGGGGCCCGCACAAGCGGUGGAGCAUGUGGUUUAAUUCGAAGCAACGCGAAGAACCUUCCCAGGUCUUGACAUCCUCUGACAACUCUAGAGAUAGAGCGUUCCCUUCGGGGGACAGAGUGACAGGUGGUGCAUGGUUGUCGUCAGCUCGUGUCGUGAGAUGUUGGGUUAAGUCCCGCAACGAGCGCAACCCUUGAUCUUAGUUGCCAGCAUUUAGUUGGGCACUCUAAGGUGACUGCCGGUGACAAACCGGAGGAAGGUGGGGAUGACGUCAAAUCAUCAUGCCCCUUAUGACCUGGGCUACACACGUGCUACAAUGGAUGGUACAAAGGGCUGCAAGACCGCGAGGUCAAGCCAAUCCCAUAAAACCAUUCUCAGUUCGGAUUGUAGGCUGCAACUCGCCUACAUGAAGCUGGAAUCGCUAGUAAUCGCGGAUCAGCAUGCCGCGGUGAAUACGUUCCCGGGCCUUGUACACACCGCCCGUCACACCACGAGAGUUUGUAACACCCGAAGUCGGUGGAGUAACCGUAACGAGCUAGCCGCCUAACAUCCAAGUC